AACGAACGCUGGCGGCAGGCUUAACACAUGCAAGUCGAGCGCCCCGCAAGGGGAGCGGCAGACGGGUGAGUAACGCGUGGGAAUCUACCCAUCUCUACGGAAUAACGCAUGGAAACGUGUGCUAAUACCGUAUACGUCCUUCGGGAGAGAGAUUUAUCGGAGAUGGAUGAGCCCGCGUUGGAUUAGCUAGUUGGUGGGGUAAAGGCCUACCAAGGCGACGAUCCAUAGCUGGUCUGAGAGGAUGAUCAGCCACACUGGGACUGAGACACGGCCCAGACUCCUACGGGGGGCAGCAGUGGGGAAUAUUGUACAAUGGGCGCAAGCCUGAUCCAGCCAUGCCGCGUGAGUGAUGAAGGCCCUAGGGUUGUAAAGCUCUUUCACCGGUGAAGAUAAUGACGGUAACCGGAGAAGAAGCCCCGGCUAACUUCGUGCCAGCCGCCGCGGUAAGAC
rnacentral:rRNA from 1 species